rfam:Nomascus leucogenys chromosome 10, whole genome shotgun sequence.
UCUCAUGCUGUGACUUUGCAAAGGGAAGCCCUUUCUGUUGUCUAAAAGAAAAGAAAGUGCUUCUCUUUGGAGUGUUACGGUUUGAGA